UACAGAGGGUGCAAGCGUUGUUCGGAAUUAUUGGGCGUAAAGGGCGCGUAGGCGGUGCCACAAGUCACCUGUGAAAUCUCCGGGCUUAACUCGGAGCCUGCAGGCGAAACUGUGGUGCUGGAGUGUGGGAGAGGUGCGUGGAAUUCCCGGUGUAGCGGUGAAAUUCGCAGAUAUCAGGAAGAACACCAAUGGCGAAAGCAGCUUUCUGGGACGGUACUGACGCUGAGACGCGAAAGCGUGGGGAGCGAACAGG
rnacentral:rRNA from 1 species